rnacentral:rRNA from 1 species
AUUGAACGCUGGCGGCAUGCUUUACACAUGCAAGUCGAACGGUAACAGGCCGCAAGGUGCUGACGAGUGGCGAACGGGUGAGUAAUGCAUCGGAACGUGCCCAGCCGUGGGGGAUAACGCAGCGAAAGCUGCGCUAAUACCGCAUACGAUCUAUGGAUGAAAGCGGGGGACCGUAAGGCCUCGCGCGAUCGGAGCGGCCGAUUUCAGAUUAGGUAGUUGGUGGGGUAAAGGCUCACCAAGCCAACGAUCUGUAGCUGGUCUGAGAGGACGACCAGCCACACUGGGACUGAGACACGGCCCAGACUCCUACGGGAGGCAGCAGUGGGGAAUUUUGGACAAUGGGCGCAAGCCUGAUCCAGCAAUGCCGCGUGCAGGAAGAAGGCCUUCGGGUUGUAAACUGCUUUUGUACGGAACGAAACGGUCCUGGUUAAUACCCGGGGCUAAUGACGGUACCGUAAGAAUAAGCACCGGCUAACUACGUGCCAGCCGCCGCCGUAAUAC